UAUGUGAUCGUCUCUCGCAUAUCAAUAAGCGGAGGAAAAGAAACUAACAAGGAUUCCCCUAGUAACGGCGAGUGAAGCGGGAAGAGCUCAAAUUUGAAAUCUUAAAGGGUCUCCCUUUACGAAUUGUAGUUUAAAGAAGUGUUUUCUGUUGAGGUUUUGGUAAAAGUUCUUUGGAAUAGGACAUCAUAGAGGGUGAGAAUCCCGUAUUUGACCUUUACUUUCAACUUUGUGAUACACUUUCAAAGAGUCGGAUUGUUUGGGAAUGCAGUCCAAAAUGGGUGGUAAAUUUCAUCUAAAGCUAAAUAUUGGCGAGAGACCGAUAGCGAACAAGUACCGUGAGGGAAAGAUGAAAAGAACUUUGAAAAGAGAGUUAAACAGUACGUGAAAUUGUCAAAAGGGAAGCGUUUGACACCAGUGUUGUUUUUCCGAAAAUCAAUUAAAGAACUGUUUAUGCUAAGCUGUUUAGACUUUAUCAGCUAACUGUUUAGUUUUGAGCUUUUCUUUAAUGCACUUUUCAGUUAACAAGUCAACAUCAAUUUCUUUUGCUGUAAAAAAGCUUGAGGAAGGUGGCUUGAGAUUCGUCUUAAGUGUUUAUAGCCUCUUGCCUAUGCAGUCGGAGAGAUUGAGGUCUGCAGCGUAGAUCCUUCGGGGCUAAAUGCAUUUGUGCUAAGUUAUAGCAUUUUAUAGACAACUUGUUGACUAUGAUUUGUCUUGUAGCUUACUCGCUUAUGUUAUUUUACCUACGCUUAGGAUGUUGAGUAGCGACAUACGCAC
rnacentral:rRNA from 1 species